UGAAACAGAGAUACCCCAGAUGAUUGAGCCAAUUAAGAAACCAAAAAAAAAAAAAAAACAUAAACCAGAUUUCACUAUUGGGGAUUAAUUACUGUACUACUUACAUAAUCCGCUGGGGGUUCCAAAGGAUGGAAUAGGUGUGGAAAUCAGCAGUUGGGUCAAACCAGAGGUAGAAUUGCUGCUCUCUGUUGCCCUUGCCCUGGCUGAACACAUUAGUGUGAAGAAUGUAUGGAUCACCACUGAGAUUCCCCAAGAAUUCGAAGUCUAUCUCAUCAUGGGUUGGCCCUUGUGAAGAUAGCUGCAAUUACACAAACCAGAAUGGUGAUUUGUGAGUCAGGAGAAGAUGAAACCAAGAAAGCAUUUGAUGGAAAAGCACUUGGUAAAGAGGAGGCUUACAUAGUAGGCAGUGACAGUGCCAGCUGAGUUACCAGGCACAAGCUUCAGCUGCAUAUCAAUCUUUCCAAACAGAUACUCAUUCUUGGACUGGAAGCCAGAGCCAGAGGUUUUGUCAAGGGAGAGAGUGAGAAGCUCUCCAUUGUUGAGUAUCUUGGCACGGCCAUCACCCCAAGUGAUUUCAAAAUCCUGGUACAAGUUACCAACAGAAGCAACCACAAAGGAACCGAGCAGAAGAGAGACCAAGAACAACUUUGGUGAAAGAUUCCAAGUAGAAGGAGAAGCCAUUGAAUGUGAAUUUAGAGACGAGAAAUGGAAGUAGUUUUGAGCGUGGAAGUGAAGAGAAUGGCGUGGGUAUGUGGGGGUUUUAUAGUAGGUGUCGUGGGGGAAAGUGGAAGGAGAUCGAGAAGAAGGUUCAGUCAGCAGCUGUACACGGUUGAAGAUGUAAAGACAACAGUUGUCAUCAAAUAGCAAAACCCAGUUCAUUUUCACGCGGAUUUUGCAUGGAUUUAAAAGAGAAAAGUGCAGAUCCACUUUCCCAUUUCCCAAGCACCAUUCAUCGCUCAUAACUAAAGCCACCACCGCCACUGAGUAAAAAACAAAAGCGAAUCAAACCCUUGAAACCGUGUCUCUCAUUAUUAUUUUUCAUCUCCAGUUGUAUCCGAAAAAGAAUCACCAAGCCCACAAAUAAAGUCAUAAUAGUAGGAGCCAGUAACAGCCCAAAAGCUCUGUGCUUCGAUGAAACCACCAUCUACUUGGUUUCCUGAAAAGAACUACUCACUGCCCUCUGCUCAACUAAUUUUUAAUUGUGAUGGGUUGGCUUAGAGUUUAAAUUUUAAAACUCAUGGAUCAAGGGGUGGGCCAUGUGCUUGAAGGCUUAAACCAACUGGUUACGAUAUUUCUUUUGGACAAUGUUAGAAUAUCUUAUACUAAUGCGGUGUUUGUUUUUUUACUUAAUUUUAAAUAGAAUCUUAAUACUUAAUAAUGUUAAAUAUUAAAUUAUUUAUUUUUAUAGUAUUUUAUUUUUAUUAAGUAUUAAAAAUUAAAAAAAAAUCAAUAUAUUAUUUUUUUUAUUUAAAAAAAACUACAUAUUUUUUAUUUAGUAAAAUGUUUAUAAUAAGUUAUGAAAAAAUAGAAAAUCAAACAACCUAAAUUUUGAAAACAAAUUACUUUUAGUAAAAAAAAAAAAAAAAAAUACCACCUAAGUAUCUUACUUCUUGAGCCAUUAUUUUGAUGACGUUGACAUUGUUACAAUUGCCAAUAGCUUUUUAUAUGGUUCAAGUCAAACCAACAGGUCACAAAUCAACACAAUUUAAGCAUUAUUCAAAACUGUUUUAAGGAUAGAUUUUCAAAACUCUUCUAUAAAGAAUAAAAAUUUGUUUGAGAAUUUAAAAUAUUUUUUUUAUAACUUUCAAUAUUUUAAAAAUAAUUUAUUUUUAAUCAUUAUUUAUAUUUGUAUAAUUAUUUUUUAAAAUAAUUUUUGAAAAAUAAGCCAAAACAAUUGAAAUAAUUAAAAGAUAUUAUUUGAAACCAAUUUUUAGAAAUAUAAAACUAUCUUUUUUUAAUAUUUGGUUGUUAAACAUGUUUUCCUCUUCUUUUUUUAUUUUUAUUUUUUUUUAUCAUGGAAACAUAAAACCAUUUUAAAAAGUAAUUUCCAAAUAAUACCUAAAUCUUGGGUGACAACAUUAUGUUUACUAAUUUCGGUAGGGAAAGGAGGGCAGCUGUUGAAAAAGAGGUCAUAUUUUUUAUUUUCCUUAUUAUUUUUCAAAACCAAAUAUAAUGUAGAAACAAUAGUAUUGUGAUUUCACUCUCUUCGUUACUUUGUGGGGUUCAACAUUGAGGUUGAGAUAAUGAUAUACAUGCCAUUCAUUGAGAAAGUAAUCUUUGUUGUAUUCAUGUAUUACAUUGUCAACAAUGUGGUGUUUCUGAAAUUCUGAUGGCAACAAAAACGAUAAAGAAUGAAAGAAUAUAAUUUUGAAAUUAUAGAGGCAAACAACGAAGUGAAUGGCCUUAGGUUCUGUUCCCUCUAGGACAUGGUGGUGGCAGAGCAUUCAGGAGGAAGGCCCUGUGGGAAUCUCUUUGUGUCUGCGCAGUAAUUGUAGAUCAUGUAAUUCUUCUGCACCCAUUUCAUUCUCUCUUGGCUUGUGGAAUCUAGCUCUUGUGAGUACCAUCCCCCAUUGGUGGAGGUAGAAGAUGGAGAGGUUGAACUGCAAGAAGAUGAUCCAGAGGACCACAAACAAGCAUUGGCAUUGAAGUUCCUGUAGGAGGCUGUGAAUGGUGCUUGGCUCCAGUCUGUCUUCACAAGCCCGCCUCUUGUUGCCCAGUCAUCGGCAUUCCAGAGACUGGAGUAUAUCCUCAUGGGCUGGUUCUUCGGGUAUGGGACACCUAUGGAUUCAGAGUUCUUGAACUCUCUGAUGGGGGUGCCAUCCACAGAGAAGCUGAAACAGAGAUGCCCCAGAUGAGCAAAUCAAUACGAAAACCCAAAAAACAUAAACCAGAUUGCAGUUUUGGAGAUUAGGAUAAUAGUACUUACAUAAUGCGCUGGGGAUUCCAGAGGAUGGAAUAGGUGUGGAAAUCAGCAGUUGGGUCGAACCACAGGUAGAACUGCUGCUCUCUAUUUCCCUUGCCUUGGCUGAACACAUUAGUGUGGAGGAUAUAGGGGUCCCCACUGAGGUUCCCCAGGAAUUCAAAGUCGAUUUCAUCAUGGGUUGGCCCUUGUGAAGAUAA
rnacentral:lncRNA from 1 species